rnacentral:rRNA from 1 species
AACGAACGCUGGCGGCAGGCCUAACACAUGCAAGUCGAGCGCACCCUUCGGGGUGAGCGGCGGACGGGUGAGUAACGCGUGGGAACGUGCCCUUCUCUGCGGAAUAGCCUCGGGAAACUGAGAGUAAUACCGCAUACGCCCUUUGGGGGAAAGAUUUAUCGGAGAAGGAUCGGCCCGCGUUGGAUUAGGUAGUUGGUGGGGUAAUGGCCCACCAAGCCGACGAUCCAUAGCUGGUUUGAGAGGAUGAUCAGCCACACUGGGACUGAGACACGGCCCAGACUCCUACGGGAGGCAGCAGUGGGGAAUCUUAGACAAUGGGGGCAACCCUGAUCUAGCCAUGCCGCGUGAGUGAUGAAGGCCUUAGGGUUGUAAAGCUCUUUCAGCUGGGAAGAUAAUGACGGUACCAGCAGAAGAAGCCCUGGCUAACUCCGUG